rnacentral:ncRNA from 2 species
CAUUAGGUUCUCAAGUUCGGUUAGCUUUGAUUUUGACUGGAUAAGAGUGAAAAGGGAAGUUGGUGCGCUCCGCCAAGGUUUGGCUGAUGGAGCUAUCCCAACACUGCCCCCGCAACGGUAAAUAAGAAUGUUUAGUAGUGAUGCCACUGUGUUUUUUUAAGCAUGGGAAGGUUGCUAGACAGAACGGCUAUCUUUUACGAGAAUAUCGCUGUUCACUUAUGAGUCCGGAGACCGGCCUAUCGCAACGCAGACAA